CAGCAGCCGCGGUAAUACGUAGGGUGCGAGCGUUAAUCGGAAUUACUGGGCGUAAAGCGUGCGCAGGCGGUUCGUUAAGACAGAUGUGAAAUCCCCGGGCUUAACCUGGGAACUGCAUUUGUGACUGGCGAGCUAGAGUAUGGCAGAGGGGGGUGGAAUUCCGCGUGUAGCAGUGAAAUGCGUAGGUAUGCGGAGGAACACCGAUGGCGAAGGCAGCCCCCUGGGCCAAUACUGACGCUCAUGCACGAAAGCGUGGGGAGCAAACAGGAUUAGAUACCCCCGUAGUCCCUGUCUCUUAUAA
rnacentral:rRNA from 1 species